GUAGCGUUGCUACUAAUUAUGAGAGCGGCGCACGGGUGCGUAACGCGUAUGCAACCUACCUUAUACUGGGGUAUAGCCCGGAGAAAUUCGGAUUAAUCCCCCAUAGCAUUAUCGAUUCGCAUGUUUUGAUAAUUAAAGGUUACGGUAUAAGAUGGGCAUGCGUCCUAUUAGCUAGAUGGUGAGGUAACGGCUCACCAUGGCGACAAUAGGUAGGGGGCCUGAAAGGGUGGUCCCCCACACUGGUACUGAAACACGGACCAAACUCCUACGGGAGGCAGCAGUGAGGAAUAUUGGUCAAUGGGCGAAAGCCUGAACCACCCAUGCCGCGUGCAGGAAGACGGUCCUAUGGAUUGUAAACUGCUUUUAUUUGGGAAUAAACCUCUUUACGUGUAGAGAGCUGAAGGUACCAAAUGAAUAAGCACCGGCUAACUCCGUGC
rnacentral:rRNA from 1 species